GGAGAGUGGCGCACGGGUGAGUAACGCGUGGGGACCUACCUCUUAGUGGGGGAUAACGGUUGGAAACGACCGCUAAUACCGCAUACGCCCUUCGGGGGAAAGAUUUAUCGCUAAGAGAUGGACCCGCGUUGGAUUAGAUAGUUGGUGAGGUAACGGCUCACCAAGUCAGCGAUCCAUAGCUGGUUUGAGAGGAUGAUCAGCCACACUGGGACUGAGACACGGCCCAGACUCCUACGGGAGGCAGCAGUGGGGAAUAUUGGACAAUGGGGGCAACCCUGAUCCAGCCAUGCCGCGUGAGUGAAGAAGGCCUUCGGGUUGUAAAGCUCUUUCAGAUGCGAAGAUGAUGACGGUAACAUCAGAAGAAGCCCCGGCUAAUUUCGUGCCAGCAGCCGCGGUAAUACGAAAGGGGCUAGCGUUGUUCGGAUUUACUGGGCGUAAAGGGCACGCAGGCGGUCUUGCCAGUCA
rnacentral:rRNA from 1 species